rnacentral:RNase_P_RNA from 1 species
CGGUCGCUGGUUCUUUGAAUCAGAGGAAAGUCCGGACUCUUCAGGGCAGAUGGCCGGCUAACAGCCGGGAGCAGCGAUGCUACGGAAAGUGCAACAGAAAGUAAACUACCCGAUUUAUCGGGAAAAGGUGAAACGGCGAGUUAAGAGCUCACCGGGACAGCAGUAAUGUUGUUCGCUCGGCAAACCCCCAUCGGAGCAAGGUCUAAUAGAAAUGCCAUUUGCUGCGGCAGAUAAGGAACGCCCGUCCGACGCAUUCGGGUUGACCGCUUGAGAUUGCCGGUAACGACAAUCCUAGAUGAAUGACCGGUUUUAUACAGAAUCCGGCUUAUGUGUUGCUUU